AAGUCGUAACAAGGUCUCCGUAGGUGAACCUGCGGAGGGAUCAUUACACAAAUAUGAAGGCGGGCUGGAACCUCUCGGGGUUACAGCCUUGCUGAAUUAUUCACCCUUGUCUUUUGCGUACUUCUUGUUUCCUUGGUGGGUUCGCCCACCACUAGGACAAACAUAAACCUUUUGUAAUUGCAAUCAGCGUCAGUAACAAAUUAAUAAUUACAACUUUCAACAACGGAUCUCUUGGUUCUGGCAUCGAUGAAGAACGCAGCGAAAUGCGAUAAGUAGUGUGAAUUGCAGAAUUCAGUGAGUCAUCGAAUCUUUGAACGCACAUUGCGCCCUUUGGUAUUCCAAAGGGCAUGCCUGUUCGAGCGUCAUUUGUACCCUCAAGCUUUGCUUGGUGUUGGGCGUCUUGUCUCUAGCUUUGCUGGAGACUCGCCUUAAAGUAAUUGGCAGCCGGCCUACUGGUUUCGGAGCGCAGCACAAGUCGCACUCUCUAUCAGCAAAGGUCUAGCAUCCAUUAAGCCUUUUUUCAACUUUUGACCUCGGAUCAGGUAGGGAUACCCGCUGAACUUAAGCAUAUCA
rnacentral:rRNA from 1 species